GGGCAGUUAGCUCAGCGGUAGAGCACUUCCUUGACAUGGAAGGGGUCACAAGUUCGAUCCUUGUACCGCCCACCA
rnacentral:tRNA from 5 species